GAGUGAAAGAGUAGAUCGUAGUAGGGCUGCUAACUUUACUAUAAAUGAGGUUGUUCAUUUUCUUUCA
rnacentral:tRNA from 1 species